ensembl:lncRNA
CAAUAUCAAUAUUGGUGUAUAAGCUGUCAACGUCCAUCGUAAAGAGGAAGGCGUGCGUGGGGAUCCGGAGAGCACGCACCUUGGUAACGAAAUCAUAGGUAUCCUUCACGUAGCUCGCGUGGGAGAUAGACAAAGGAUAAAGGUAAUGAUCGAGAAACUCUGCCGUGUGGUAUGUCUCGCUGCUGCAGUCAGAGACGAUGGGUCGUCCCGGGGGGAUUUUAAAGGGCUCACUCCAGGCCAUAGGCUCUUUAUGUAUUAGAGAUUUAUAACGGAGCGGCUCCCUCGAGGCGUGUCUCGGGACGCGGGAGCGCUCAGUUUAAAAACUUAACCCAUUGGCUAAAGAGGAGCGCUGCCGUGUCCCGAGACCAGUGGACAUUGUCCCUCUCAGUCACAAAGGACUUCUUGGGCAGAGCGGGGAUGGAUUCAUAGCGGGUGGAGAUAAAGGUAUUUAAUUUUGAGAGAAGCUCCUGUCCCCUGAACGGGAGCGCGCGAGAGUAAUUAAUCUCCGGGAUGAGGAUCGCUGCGCAAGGGAACGCGAUGCGCGCCCAUUUGACUGCGGAUUGAAGAUUACCCACACAAACCCGUUCUGUUUUGUUACCCCUCUCGUUGAUUCCGAACGCCAGAACCAGUUUGCGGACCUUGGGGUCGACGGUGGUCUUCGCCAGAACCGCGGAGGCAUGACGGAAGGACGCGCCAGGGUAGCCGUCGAUCUGAAGACCAGUCACCAGCAGGUGGAGUGAGAGGGACCACGGUGCCUGCACCUUCCGGAGUCGCCAGUAGUGGUUGCUGGUUGUCCCCAGACCGGGCGGCGUUGGGAGGACAGCUCGCGACAGAAUCAAAAAUAAACACAUAAUAAAAUGACGCCGUUGCAUUAAAUUAUUGCAGUGGAGGACAAAAACAAAUAACAGAAAAGAAUAAAAGCAUAAAAAAAUCCGGAACGUGCCCCGAAUAUUAUAUUAAGUAAUAAAGUGACCGUAAAAACGGUUCAAACAUCAGGAGCAUCCUUAUAAACACAUGGUAUACAUAUUUAGAUUACAUAAUUAAAGGGGUAAAUAAAUAAAUAAAUGCUGUGGUGAAGGGAAGGAUCGUAAAUUCGAAUUGAACCGCACCGUAACUGAAAGUGUAUAGUGUUAUAUUUAUAUGUUACACUACCAUUGAACAUCCAGGAGAUGGAGCUGGAGAACCGUGGUGGGGGAUCCAAGAUGGCGGCCCCCAUGGGCAGAAACGUAAUCAUAUUAAUUAAAUAAGGGCGGUAUUAAGGGUGACAGAAAUUCAAAUGCGUAGCGAUAAUUAGUAAAGGCAGAACACGAAACAAACCCACGGAGAACCAAACACAAAGGGUUACCAUCCGAGCCAAGAACUUAAAAAGAGUACGGGCCAAAAUGGCCCCAGAGUGUCUUAGCUCUACGCGGCCAUUAGGUGUCGCCAAAUAGGCCCAGAUCAAAGGCUUUUUAUAUAACGGUGGGUUAAAUCAAACAACCCUCCGGGUUUGGAGGGUACAUUAAAGCACCUUUCAGGUGCGUAGGGGAUGGGGAAUAAAUAAAGGAAUGGCAGGGAAGGGGGGGCCCAUAGGACAUCAAUUGAAUAAAUACCAAGGGUGCAAUUGGAAACCAAAUUAAACCGCAUUAUUGUUUGUUAAUGGCUUAAAUAUAUGAAAAAUAAAAAAGAGUAGGGGGACGAAGGGGGACUGGGGCUGGGGCA